rnacentral:rRNA from 1 species
GUGGGGAAUAUUGGACAAUGGGCGCAAGCCUGAUCCAGCCAUGCCGCGUGUGUGAAGAAGGCCUUCGGGUUGUAAAGCACUUUUGUUGGGAAAGAAAUCCUGUCGGCUAAUACCCGGCGGGGAUGACGGUACCCAAAGAAUAAGCACCGGCUAACUUCGUGCCAGCAGCCGCGGUAAUACGAAGGGUGCAAGCGUUACUCGGAAUUACUGGGCGUAAAGCGUGCGUAGGUGGUUCGUUAAGUCAGAUGUGAAAGCCCCGGGCUCAACCUGGGAAUUGCAUUUGAUACUGGCGGACUAGAGUGCGGUAGAGGAGAGUGGAAGUCCCGGUGUAGCAGUGAAAUGCGUAGAGAUCGGGAGGAACAUCAGUUGCGAAGGCGGCUCUCUGGACCAGCACUGACACUGAGGCACGAAAGCGUGGGGAGCAAACAGGAUUAGAUACCCUUGUAGUCC